GGACACGGAAAGGAUUGACAGAUUGAAAGCCCUUUCUCGAUUCUGUGGGUGGUGGUGCAUGGCCGUUCUUAGUUGGUGGAGCGAUUUGUCUGGUUCAUUCCGAUAACGAACGAGACUCCG
rnacentral:rRNA from 1 species